AUGGAAACUGGGAUGAUUCUUUUAACGUGUGCUGCAAACAGUGUGGUCGGUUUAAAAGAAGCUUUAUCGUGUCUUUGGGCUUCAGAACAGCACUUCAUGUCCCUGUUUUACUUGAAAUUCUUUGGGUUUGAAUUUUUCCUCUGCUCUUCGACACAGACUCUGCUGCAGAGCGCCACAGAGAAAGCCGCCUCUACAAAGAAUGUCCAGAUUUUAGGAUUAAGACGGGCGCUGCAGCGGGCCGAGAUCCAGCAAAGUCGGAUCUCAGGAGCCUUUGGUGAGGUCGUGUCCACAGUGCAGAGAGAUCGAAUGCUUCUCAGUGUUUACCAAGAACUCAGACAAAAUCCUCUGCUCAUAGUGUAACACCUACUCAGCUGCCCUCACUUGUUUGGUGUUGUUGCAUAAUCUGACUUUGCUGCCAGCUCUUUCACAGUGCAAAGCACAUCUAAUGCUUUACGCUGUAAAAUAGUUUCUAUAUGACAUUUUACCAUUUUACAGUAUAUUUUGAUUUUGAAGAGGUUAAAAUUUGGUGAUGUCUAAAAAUAAAGUUUCUCUUGUUUUUUCACACGACAAUAAAUUCAAUGAAGGUUUCAAAUAUUUCUGUAAUUUUUCAUGAAAGCAUUUUCCAUGCUUUCAUGUUGCUUAAGCCAAAUUCUGACUCGACCAAAUGUCACAGCAGAAAUUCACAUUCAUCAGAACAGGUAACAUUUUUCCAGCCUGAUAUUGCCCAAUUUUGUUGAGUCCAUGUGAUUUGCAGCGUCAGUUUCCUGUUCUUAGCUGACAGGAGUGGCACCGGUGCCGUCUUCUGCUGUUCGUCUUCUUUAAGGUCUGCCGUACAUUCAGAGAUGCUCUUCUGCGUAGCUUGGUUGUAACGUGUGGUUAUUUGAGUUAAUGCUGUUGUCAGUAAAGCAGUUUGGUCUGACAUCAAGAAGGCAUUUUCACCUAGAUAACUGCCACUCACUGGAUAUUUUCUAUUUUUCAGACCUGUAAACGCUAAAUAUGGUUGUACACCAGUACACCAACAAUUUUUAAGAUACUCAGAGGAGCCUGUCUGACACCAACAACCAUGGCACAUUCAAAGUCACUUAAAUCACCUUUCCUCCCCAUUCUGAUACUCGGUUUGAACUUUGUCAGGUCAUCUUGACCAUGUCUACAUACCUAAAUUCACUGGGUUUCUGUAAUAUGAUUGGCUGUUAGAUAUUUGUACUUAAGAAGUGGCUGUUUACCGUAGGAUCUGAUGCAUUGUGCUUGGACAUGGAAUAAACAUGGAAUUUACAGACAACUGAUAGAUUUCAGUAUCGUUAUUUUUCAGCCAAUCAUUUAAUCUGCUGCAGAAAUAACAAAUUUCUGAUAUGUUUAUGUGUGGGAAGUUGUCUGAGGAAAAAGUUGCCUAUGCCUUUCUUAGCAUUUUGCGAUGGAUAGUACAUUUAGGACAAAAAAUGAGUAAUCACAGCCAUUUUAACUGACACUAUAAUAAUUGCAGGGACUGAAUGUUCUUGUGAUGGAUAAGCUCCCUAAACCCGGUCAGGGAGAUGCAAGUCAUUGAAUGUUAUUAGCGAUCUACAUUAACUAUCCCUUUAAUUGCCCGAGACAUGAAGCAAUUUCUGUUUUAAAGCUCCGAUGAGCUUUUAAUAUACAGACUCACACAGUCAGUACAGUGAUUUCAAACAGUUUACAUCACUGCAAUAAAACAGACUUCUAAUGGAUACAAACCACAGAAUAGUAAUUGAGUUUAAAUGCAAUUAUUCUUAAUAACUUCAUAGUUGUGACUCAUUUGUAGACCUUGCUGUGAGCGCUAUGAUAUGAAGAACUGGUUAAUUUUUUUUAAUGUAGACCAGACAGAGAGAGAAUUAAAAGGAGGACUGCACAGGGUUGCAAUUAUUUUUUUUUGUGUGUGUUUAAAACUUGUUUUGUUUAUUUUUUCUUAGUCUGUAUCAUUUGUGACCUGUCCAGGGUGUACCCACACUUCAGACUUCAGCCUCCUGCAACCCUGAAUUGGAUGAGUGAAAGAGAAUGGAUAGAUCAGGCUUAAAAGUGUCUUUUAAUGAUAAGCAUUUGCAGCUCUGAAAUAUGAAGGGAAACUAAAAUACUUAGCACUUAGCAGAUAUUUAAAUUACAGAGGUUUUUCUGUGUGAGUGGAUCAGGCACCAUGUUCAUGCAGAAAUAGCUUCUGCAUGAAGUGAAUAAAUGCCUCCAGAUUUUUUUUUAAGUAUGAAGUAGAUUACAG
ensembl:lncRNA